AUGAAGUGCCUUGACUUUGAUGAAUCCAAAAAGUUGUUCCUCAGCAGAGCAUUUGGUUCAGAGGACGCCACUUUGCAUGAUGAUCUGAGAAGUGAAAUGAACAAAAUCUUAAAAAAAUGUGGUGGGCUACCAAUGGCCAUUAUUAGCAUCGCGAACCUCUUGGCCAGCUACAAAUCAUCGGAGAGCAAAGAUAUGUGGGAAAGAGUUUGCAAGUCAAUUGGUUCUCAAAUGGAGAACAACCCUACUCUUGAGGGCAUGAGGCAAAUAGUUACUCUCAGCUAUAACCACCUGCACUAUUAUCUCAAGGGUUGCAUGAUGUACCUCAGCAUUUUCCCAGAGGAUUAUGUAAUCGUCAAGAAACGGCUGUUGAAGAGAUGGAUUGCAGAAGGACUGGUUGCUGAGAUCCGGGGUUUGACAUUAAUGGAGACUGCAGAAGCCUACUACGACGAGUUGGUGAGUAGGAACAUGAUUGGUCGGGCCGAUGAUAUUGUCACCUGGUGGGAUGGGACCGUGGAGACGUGUCGAGUACAUGACAUAGUACUUGAGGUCAUGGUGUCCAAAUCCCUGGAGGCUAACUUUGUUAGCCUAAUAGGUGGCCCGUAUGAAGGGAUGUCGUAUGGUAGCAUGCGCCGCCUGUCCAUCCAUGGCGGAAAAGAGGUAGCGCCUGUGGACUCGCCGUCUAACAAAAUUGCAGCAUCACAUGGUAAGAAGAAUGCAAUCGAGGGGAUGGACAUGGAGCAUGUCCGAUCAUUGAGCAUGUUUGGCCCUGAAGAUCAAAAGAAGGUGCUUGACCGUUUGUGCAAGUUCACCCUGCUCAGGGUACUUGACUUGGAAGACUGCAUGGCCAUAGAAAACAAACAUUUGAGAGAUGUCUGCCGGAUGUACCUGCUGAGGCUCUUGAAUUUGAAAGGAACAAGUAUCAGUCAUAUGCCUCCGGAAGUCGGUGACCUGGAGAAUUUGGAGACCCUUGAUCUGUUGGAAAGCAAGAAAGGGCCUGGGUAG
rnacentral:rRNA from 1 species